UGGGGAAUAUUGCACAAUGGGCGCAAGCCUGAUGCAGCCAUGCCGCGUGUAUGAAGAAGGCCUUCGGGUUGUAAAGUACUUUCAGCGGGGAGGAAGGGAGUAAAGUUAAUACCUUUACUCAUUGACGUUACCCGCAGAAGAAGCACCGGCUAACUCCGUGCCAGCAGCCGCGGUAAUACGGAGGGUGCAAGCGUUAAUCGGAAUUACUGGGCGUAAGGCGCACGCAGGCGGUUUGUUAAGUCAGAUGUGAAAUCCCCGGGCUCAACCUGGGAACUGCAUUCGAAACUGGCAGGCUAGAGUCUUGUAGAGGGGGGUAGAAUUCCAGGUGUAGCGGUGAAAUGCGUAGAGAUCUGGAGGAAUACCGGUGGCGAAGGCGGCCCCCUGGACAAAGACUGACGCUCAGGUGCGAAAGCGUGGGGAGCAAACAGG
rnacentral:rRNA from 1 species